GAUGAACGCUGGCGGCGUGCCUAAUACAUGCAAGUCGAGCGAACGGACGAGAAGCUUGCUUGUCUGAUGUUAGCGGCGGACGGGUGAGUAACACGUGGAUAACCUACCUAUAAGACUGGGAUAACUUCGGGAAACCGGAGCUAAUACCGGAUGAUAUUUUGAACCGCAUGGUUCAAGAGUGAAAGACGGUCUUGCGGUCAGUUAUAGAUGGAUCCGCGCUGCAUUAGCUAGUUGGUAAGGUAAAGGCUUACCAAGGCAACGAUGCAUAGCCGACCCGAGGGGGUGAACGCCCACACGGGCAGUGAGACACGUCACAGACUCCGACGGUGGGCAGCAGUAGGGAAUCCUACGCGAUGGAGGAGUGCGGGACAGAGCAACGCGGGGUGAGUGAUGAAGGUCUUCGGACCGUAGAGCGCUGUUAGUAGGGGAGAUCAAAUGUGUAAGUAACUGUGAACAUCUUGACGGUACCGAGUCAGAAAGCCCCGGCUAACUACGUG
rnacentral:rRNA from 1 species